GGGCUCACACAAGCGGUGGAGCAUGUGGCUUAAUUCGAAGCAACGCGAAGAACCUUACCUGGGCUUGACAUGCUUGGAUGCUUUAUGGGGAUAACUCAUAAAGUUGCUCUUCGGAGUGAAACUUGCACAGGUGUUGCACGGCUGUCGUCAGCUCGUGCUGUGAAGUGUCGGGUUAAGUCCCUUAACGAGCGAAACCCUUGCCGUUAGUUACCAGCGGGUAAAGCCGGGGACUCUAGCGGGACUGCCGGCGUUAAGCCGGAGGAAGGCGGGGACGACGUCAAGUCAUCGUGGCCCUUAUGUCCAGGGAUGCACACGUGCUACAAUGGCGCGUACAGAGCGACGCAAGACCGCGAGGUGGAGCAAAUCGCAAAAAACGCGCCCCAGUUCGGAUUGGAGUCUGUAAUUCGACUCCAUGAAGUUGGAAUCGCUAGUAAUCGCGGAUCAGCUACGCCGCGGUGAAUGUGUUCCUGAGCCUU
rnacentral:rRNA from 1 species